AGCGGCGGACGGGUGAGUAACACGUGGGUAACCUGCCCAAGAGACUGGGAUAACACCUGGAAACAGAUGCUAAUACCGGAUAACAACACUAGACGCAUGUCUAGAGUUUGAAAGAUGGUUCUGCUAUCACUCUUGGAUGGACCUGCGGUGCAUUAGCUAGUUGGUAAGGUAACGGCUUAUCAAGGCAAUGAUGCAUAGCCGAGUUGAGAGACUGAUCGGCCACAUUGGGACUGAGACACGGCCCAAACUCCUACGGGAGGCAGCAGUAGGGAAUCUUCCACAAUGGACGAAAGUCUGAUGGAGCAACGCCGCGUGAGUGAAGAAGGGUUUCGGCUCGUAAAGCUCUGUUGGUAGUGAAGAAAGAUAGAGGUAGUAACUGGCCUUUAUUUGACGGUAAUUACUUAGAAAGUCACGGCUAACUACGUGCCAGCAGCCGCGGUAAUACGUAGGUGGCAAGCGUUGUCCGGAUUUAUUGGGCGUAAAGCGAGUGCAGGCGGUUCAAUAAGUCUGAUAUGAAAGCCUUCGGCUCAACCGGAGAAUUGCAUCAGAAACUGUUGAACUUGAGUGCAGAAGAGGAGAGUGGAACUCCAUGUGUAGCGGUGGAAUGCGUAGAUAUAUGGAAGAACACCAGUGGCGAAGGCGGCUCUCUGGUCUGCAACUGACGCUGAGGCUCGAAAGCAUGGGUAGCGAACAGGAUUAGAUACCCUGGUAGUCCAUGCCGUAAACGAUGAGUGCUAAGUGU
rnacentral:rRNA from 1 species